CGACCGGCGCACGGGUGCGUAACGCGUAUGCAACCUACCUUUAACAGGGGGAUAACACUGAGAAAUUGGUACUAAUACCCCAUAAUAUCAUAGAAGGCAUCUUUUAUGGUUGAAAAUUCCGAUGGUUAGAGAUGGGCAUGCGUUGUAUUAGCUGGUUGGUGAGGUAACGGCUCACCAAGGCAACGAUACAUAGGGGGACUGAGAGGUUAACCCCCCACAUUGGUACUGAGACACGGACCAA
rnacentral:rRNA from 1 species